GAUGAACGCUGGCGGCGUGCCUAAUACAUGCAAGUCGAGCGAACGGACGAGAAGCUUGCUUCUCUGAUGUUAGCGGCGGACGGGUGAGUAACACGUGGAUAACCUACCUAUAAGACUGGGAUAACUUCGGGAAACCGGAGCUAAUACCGGAUAAUAUUUUGAACCGCAUGGUUCAAAAGUGAAAGACGGUCUUGCUGUCACUUAUAGAUGGAUCCGCGCUGCAUUAGCUAGUUGGUAAGGUAACGGCUUACCAAGGCAACGAUGCAUAGCCGACCUGAGAGGGUGAUCGGCCACACUGGAACUGAGACACGGUCCAGACUCCUACGGGAGGCAGCAGUAGGGAAUCUUCCGCAAUGGGCGAAAGCCUGACGGAGCAACGCCGCGUGGGUGAUGAAGGUCUUCGGAUCGUAAAACUCUGUUAUUAGGGAAGAACAUAUGUGUAAGUAACUGUGCACAUCUUGACGGUACCUAAUCAGAAAGCCACGGCUAACUGCGUG
rnacentral:rRNA from 1 species